rnacentral:rRNA from 1 species
AACCGCGGACGGCUCAUUAGAACAGCUAUAAUUUACUUGAUCUUGAACAGUUACUGGAUAACUGUGGUAAUUCUAGAGCUAAUACGUGCACCAAAGCUGUUCCUUCGGGAGCAGUGCAUUUAUUUGAGCAAAACCAAACGGCUUCGGCCGUCUCUGGUGAGCCAGAAUAACUAAGCUGAUCGCAUGGGCUUGUCCCGGCGACGUGUCUUUCAAGUGUCUGCCUUAUCAACUUUCGAUGGUAGUGUAUCGGACUACCAUGGUGUUGACGGGUAACGGAGGAUAAGGGUUCGACUCCGGAGAAGGGGCCUGAGAAAUGGCCACUACGUCUAAGGAUGGCAGCAGGCGCGCAAAUUACCCAAUCUCGGUUCGAGGAGGUAGUGACGAAAAAUAACAAGGCCGUUCUCUACGAGGCCGGCCAUUGGAAUGGGUACAACUUAAACCCUUUAACGAGUAUCAAUGAGAGGGCAAGUCUGGUGCCAGCAGCCGCGGUAAUUCCAGCUCUCAAAGUGCAUAGAACCAUUGCUGCGGUUAAAAAGCUCGUAGUUGGAUCUGUGCCGGUGACGUGGUUCACUCGUAAGGGUGAUACUGCGCUCACUGGCUUUGGACCGGUCUUCGCGGUCGGUAGUCUUUAUUGGCUGCCGCCCGUGGCUGGUUGGUUUACUUUGAGCAAAUCAGAGUGCUCAGCACAGGCGUCUUGCCGGAAUGUUCGUGCAUGGAAUAAUAGAAAAGGAUUUCGGUCCUCUUUUGUUGGUUUUGUGGACUGAGAUAAUGGUUAACAGAGACGACCGGGGGCAUUCGUAUUGCUGCGUGAGAGGUGAAAUUCUUGGACCGCAGCAGGACGAACUACAGCGAAAGCAUUUGCCAAGUGCGUCUUCAUUAAUCAAGAACGAAAGUCAGAGGUUCGAAGGCGAUCAGAUACCGCCCUAGUUCUGACCGUAAACGAUGCCAACUAGCGAUCCGCCGGUGGCCCUUAGGCCCUGGUGGGGAGCUUCCCGGAAACGAAAGUCUUCCGGUUCCGGGGGAAGUAUGGUUGCAAAGCUGAAACUUAAAGGAAUUGACGGAAGGGCACCACCAGGAGUGGAGCCUGCGGCUUAAUUUGACUCAACACGGGGAAACUCACCCGGCCCGGACACCGUGAGGAUUGACAGAUUGAUAGCUCUUUCAUGAUUCGGUGGUUGGUGGUGCAUGGCCGUUUCUUAGUUAA